UAUUUUAUACAUUAUUGAUGAGUUAAAGAAUUAUGUAAAUGGCUUUGACAGUGAUUUUCUUGAAGAAAAUAAAUUUGAUUUGGAAGUAAAAGAAGAUGUAGAACCUAAUACUUCAGAAGACUUAAGAAACUAUGAAUCACUUGUUCAAAAACAUAGCGAUUCUAAGUUGUUGGAUGAAGGUGUGAAUAACGGUGACACGGUGGCAAUGAUUCUCAAGUAGUAGAUUUCGGUUCAGAAAUAAUACCAGUUGUGUCUUCUGAGAUACAAAAUGUCUCCUUAUUGGAUGAAGGUCUCAUAGAAGAGUUUACUGUUGGUUUUGAUGAAUCACUGAUUCUUAUUUGAAUAAUGCACCAAAUGUUCCGUCUGAGAUAGUAAAUGUCUCCAUGUUGUCAGAUGAAGAACUUAAAUGUGUUCAUACAUUUGGUUUUGAAGAUUUACUGGCAAACGAUUUUGAAUCGAAAUAUACUUUUUCAUUGUUGAGGGAAAAACGUGAUUUUUUAACUUGAAAAUUAAAAAUAUUGAGCCAGGAGUUGUGUCGGAAGAAUUGGCCUUUGCACUAUUUACAAAUGUGAUGAAAAAUGGUAUAGGAAUGUGUGUAAUGAAAGGUAAAACUAUUUGUUGUACUAAAAGUAAUCUGUUCGCUUGUUCUAUUGGUAUUUAAAAAUUUUACCGGAUGUUUUCCUUAACAAUACAAUUAAUUUUUUUUCUGAUUUUAAUAUUUCUAAAAUAUAUGAGCCAAAAUUAUGUAAACUUGUAAACAAUGUUUUCAAUUUAAAAAUA